rnacentral:lncRNA from 1 species
UGGGCCAGGAACUGUUCUAGGUCCCAGGGAUAAAGAAGUGAACAAAAUAGACAAAACCCCUGCUCUCAUAGCAUCUAUAUUCUAGUGUGGAGAUACAGUCCAUAAAGAAAGAAAUAUAUAAUGUGUCAGAUGGCAACUAGAGUCCAGGAUGAGUGUGGGUGGGAAAGGAAAGAUGGGAGGUUAUACAGAGCAAUAAGGAAAGGACUUCCUAAUAAAUUUUGAGCAGAGACCUCAAGGAAGUGAGGAAUGAGCUGAUAGAAUCUGAAGUCAGACCAUCCCAAGCAGAGGGAAUAGCAGGUGCAAAUGUCCUGAGGUGGGAGCAAACCUGUCCCAGAAAUAUCUAGGAGACCAGUAUAGUUGGAGCAGUGGGAGAGGAGAAGGGAAGAGCUGAGGCCAGCUCAUGUGCCUUCUUGGGAUGUACUCAAAACCCUCAAUUGCUGGCUGCCAGAUCAUUGCCAAAAUACAUACAGAAUAUUAACUCUUCCUCAGCUCUAUGCCACACUCUGUCACCUGGACCCCAAAGCUUCUCUUGAAUAAUUCUGUCAGCUACUGAUCACACACCCUCAAUCAGAUUUCUCACAAGAAUCAGGUCAGUUUCACUCCCACGCCUCUAACCAGAGGAAUUUAAACCCAAUCCAAGAAGUCCAAAGGAAACUGGCACCAAAUCAUGAUUUCCUCUUCCACCCUCCGCCUUGCUCCUGCCCGCAGCCACGAGCCUUCCUUCCUCUCCCGCUCCCACAGUUCUGCGAACAUCUGAGCAUAGAAACAAACGCUUGGAGGAGAGGGCAGAGAAAUGUGCACCAGUGCUUACCACACACCGCCCCAUGCACCGUGCCCGCAGGAUGAGCUGGAGUGUGACUGACUGUUGCUGGAAUAUCUUUAAGUUCCAACUGCUUCAUGAACAUCAAACCGAUGCCUGGAGAGAAGCCUACUCCUCUUCCGUUUCUCCUCUCUGAUCCAAACACACAUCGAUGGCCACCAAGUCCCUGGAGCUAGAAAACUUCGAAGCAUUCUUGGAGGCCUCUUGUGUACUAUUUCUGCACACAUGUGUAUCACUGCAUGCAUGACAUUGCAUGUAUUUAUCAGUAUACUUGCCUGUCCUUCCAGCUACUUAAAUACAGGAACCAUUCUUUAACUGUUUUUGUAUCUUGAGUGCUUAGCACAGAGUUACAGCACAGGAAGCUGUAAGUACAGGCUCGUGUCACUUAAUGACGGGGAUACAUUCUGAGAAAUGCAUCGUUAGGCAAUUUCAUCAUUGUGCGCACUUACACAAGCCUGGAUGGUAUAGCCUGCUACACACCUAUGUGGUAUAGCCUGUUGCUCCUAGGCUACAAACCUGUAUGGCAUGUUACUGUGCUGAAUACUGUAGGCAAUUGUAGCACAAUGGUAAGCAGCUGUGUAUCUAAACAUAUCUAGACGUCACUAACAAUAUGGGAUAAAAGAUUGAAAAAUGGUGCAUCUGGAUUGAACAAAGAAGAUAUGAUAAACACACACACACACACACACACACACACACACAAUGGAAUACUACUCAGCCAUAAAAAAGGAUAAAAUCGGGCCAUUCACAACAUCAUGGAUGGACCUUGAGGGUAUUAUAAGUGAAAUAGGCCAGAUAGAGAAAGACAAUCUCUGUAUGACCCCACUCAUAGGUGGAAAUUAAACACAUGGACAAAGAGAACAGAUUAGUGAUUCAGGGGGAAGGGGCGUGGGGGGUGGGCACAAGGGGCAAAGUGCUGUACCUACAAUAUGACUGAUAAAUAAUAAUGUACAACUGAAAUUUCACAAGGUUGUAAACUAUCAUAAUCUCACU